AUGAACGCUAGCGACAGGCCUAACACAUGCAAGGUCGAGGGGCAUCGGGGUGUAGCAAUACGCUGCCGGCGACCGGCGGAUGGGUGAGUAACGCGUAUGCAACCUGCCUUCAGCAGGGGAUAGCCCGUUGAAAGACGGAUUAAUACCCCAUAACACAGGGGCUCCGCAUGGAGAUUAUUGUUAAAGGGAUGCUUCCUUCGGGGGUAUUCCGGCUGAAGAUGGGCAUGCGUUCCAUUAGGUAGUUGGUUGAGGUAACGGCUCACCAAGCCUGCGAUGGAUAGGGGAACUGAGAGGUUGGUCCCCCACACUGGUACUGAGACACGGACCAGACUCCUACGGGAGGCAGCAGUGAGGAAUCUUGGUCAAUGGACGGAAGUCUGAACCAGCCAUGUCGCGUGAAGGAGGACGGCCCUAAGGGUUGUAAACUUCUUUUGCAGCGGAAUAAAGUAUUCCACGUGAUGGGAUAUUGCAAGUACGCUGCGAAUAAGGAUCGGCUAACUCCGUG
rnacentral:rRNA from 1 species